rnacentral:lncRNA from 1 species
ACAGGCAGCUAAGUGGCUACACAGAGAAAAGGGCAACUCAACAAGGGCAGGAAAGGAUACAGAGAGGCCAAGUCAGCCAGAAUGGAGCUUUGAGGAGUGAGAGAGAAAAUCCUUGCAAAGAAAGCUCAAUGCUGCUCGUAGAGACACAGAAGGAGUGGGUGAGACUAAGAUGCUUCAUGUGGACAUGGUUGCUGAGGACACCCAGCUGCUGGUAUUCAGCAGUUAACUGGGGCUACAGUCCAGCAGCCCCCACAGCAGUGGGCACAGUCAGCAGCAAUCCGGGUGUCAGCCCCUCUCUGCAAGGAUUGGGGGCCAGAUGCUCCCUCCCUGGAAGCCACAUCAACGACAGACCACUGCUCUACUGAGAAUUCAAUAAAGACUUUUUACAGAACA